GGAAUAUUGGACAAUGGGCGCAAGCCUGAUCCAGCCAUGCCGCGUGCAGGAAGACUGCCCUAUGGGUUGUAAACUGCUUUUAUACAGGAAGAAACACCCCGACGUGUCGGGACUUGACGGUACUGUAAGAAUAAGGAUCGGCUAACUCCGUUCCAGCAGCCGCGGUAAUACGGAGGAUCCAAGCGUUAUCCGGAAUCAUUGGGUUUAAAGGGUCCGUAGGUGGAUAAUUAAGUCAGGGGUGAAAGUCUGCAGCUCAACUGUAGAAUUGCCUUUGAUACUGGUUAUCUUGAGUUAUUAUGAAGUAGUUAGAAUAUGUAGUGUAGCGGUGAAAUGCAUAGAUAUUACAUAGAAUACCAAUUGCGAAGGCAGAUUACUAAUAAUAUACUGACACUGAUGGACGAAAGCGUGGGGAGC
rnacentral:rRNA from 1 species